rnacentral:rRNA from 1 species
UAAAAAGCUCGUAGUUGGAUUUCGGGAUGGGCCAGUCGGUCUGCCGCGAGGUAAGUUACUGGCUGGUCUGUUCUUCCUCGCAAAGAAUGCGUGUGCUCUUCAUUGAGUGGGCGUAGGAUUUGCGACGUUUACUUUGAAAAAAUUAGAGUGUUCAAAGCAGGCUUACCGCUUGAAUACAUGAGCAUGGAAUAAUGGAAUAGGACUUUGGUCUUAUUUUGUUGGUUUCUAAGACCGAGGUAAUGAUUAAGAGGGACAGUUGGGGGCAUUCGUAUUUCGUUGUCAGAGGUGAAAUUCUUGGAUUUACGAAAGACGAACAACUGCGAAAGCAUUUGCCAAGAAUGUUUUCAUUAAUCAAGAACGAAAGUUAGAGGCUCGAAGACGAUCAGAUACCGUCCUAGUUCUGACCUUAAACGAUGCCGACUAGCGAUCGGGUUGUGUCGAUAUAAGACCUGCCCGGCAGCUUCCGGGAAACCAAAGUCUUUGGGUUCCGGGGGAAGUAUGGUUGGAAAGCUGAAACUUAAAGG